UACGGAGGGUGCAAGCGUUGUCCGGAAUCACUGGGCGUAAAGGGCGCGUAGGCGGCCUGCUAAGUCGAACGUGAAAUCCCCGGGCUCAACCCGGGAACUGCGUCCGAUACUGACAGGCUUGAAUCCGGGAGAGGGAUGCGGAAUUCCAGGUGUAGCGGUGAAAUGCGUAGAUAUCUGGAGGAACACCGGUGGCGAAGGCGGUUCUCUGGGCAUGUCCUGACGCUGAGGAGCGAAAGUGUGGGGAGCGAACAGG
rnacentral:rRNA from 1 species